rnacentral:lncRNA from 1 species
AAUUUUAUACUGAACAUUUUUAUAUUUAAUCUUUCAUUACUUUAGAAUUCAUUUCUCUGUGAUGCAGUCGUCAAAUUUAUUCUUUCCAAACAGAGAGCCAGUCAUGCUGGGCUUUUCAUUAAGCAAAUAGACGUUUUCCCACAGAAUUGGAUAGUAAAAUGUUAUCAUCUUAAAUAAAACCCUAAAUCAGUCUCAAGGGGUGCAGGGGAGUCAUACUUUAAAAAAUAUGCUUAAACUUGGUUCUGGUUUAUUUUUUCCUCUGUGUGAUUCACAGGGAGUUCAUCUAUGACACUGACUGGAAACAGCUACGUGAAAUACCGUCUGACGGAAAAUGAAAACAAAUUAGAGAUGAAACUGACCAUGAGGCUCAGAACAUAUUCCACGCAUGCGGUUGUCAUGUAUGCUCGAGGAACUGACUAUAGCAUCUUGGAGAUUCAUCAUGGAAGGCUGCAGUACAAGUUU